CUCCAGACUCCUACGGGAGGCAGCAGUGGGGGAUAUUGCACAAUGGGGGGAACCCUGAUGCAGCGACGCCGCGUGGGUGAAGGAGUAUUUCGGUAUGUAAAGCCCUAUCGGCAGGGGAGAAGAAAGACGGUACCUGACUAAGAAGCCCCGGCUAACUACGUGCCAGCAGCCGCGGUAAUACGUAGGGGGCGAGCGUUAUCCGGAUUCACUGGGUGUAAAGGGAGCGUAGACGGCCAAGCAAGCCAGGGGUGAAAGCCCGGGGCCCAACCCCGGGCCGGGUUCCGGACUGGGCGGCUCGAGUGCGGUAGAGGAGAGCGGAAUUCCCGGUGUAGCGGUGGAAUGCGCAGAUAUCGGGAAGAACACCGAUGGCGAAGGCAGCUCUCUGGGCCGUCACUGACGCUGAGGCGCGAAAGCUGGGGGAGCGAACAGGAUUAGAUACCCGUGUA
rnacentral:rRNA from 1 species